rnacentral:rRNA from 1 species
UACGGGGGGAGCAAGCGUUGUUCGGAUUUACUGGGCGUAAAGGGCGCGUAGGCGGUCAUGACAAGUCACUUGUGAAAUCUCCGGGCUUAACUCGGAACGGUCAAGUGAUACUGUCAGACUAGAGUGCAGAAGGGGCAACUGGAAUUCUCGGUGUAGCGGUGAAAUGUGUAGAGAUCGGGAGGAACACCGGUGGCGAAGGCGGGUCUCUGGGCAUCUCCUGACGCUGAGGCGCGAAAGCGUGGGGAGCAAACGGG